UUAAGUUCAGCGGGUAUCCCUACCUGAUUCGAGGUCAAACUGAGGGGGUUCUUGAUGGACGCAGGCCCGCCAGAAGCCUUCCCAGGCGCAAUGUGCUGCGCGAGAAGCUGGCGAUGCCGCUGCCAAUGCAUUUGGGGCGAGUCCACGCCAAAAGCGCGGACAGACGCCCAACACAAGCGGAGCUUGAGGGUGUAAAUGAC
rnacentral:misc_RNA from 1 species